AGUGAACGCUGGCGGUAGGCCUAACACAUGCAAGUCGAACGGCAGCACAGUAAGAGCUUGCUCUUACGGGUGGCGAGUGGCGGACGGGUGAGGAAUACAUCGGAAUCUACUUUUUCGUGGGGGAUAACGUAGGGAAACUUACGCUAAUACCGCAUACGACCUACGGGUGAAAGCAGGGGAUAUUCGGACCUUGCGCGAAUGAAUGAGCCGAUGUCGGAUUAGCUAGUUGGCGGGGUAAAGGCCCACCAAGGCGACGAUCCGUAGCUGGUCUGAGAGGAUGAUCAGCCACACUGGAACUGAGACACGGUCCAGACUCCUACGGGAGGCAGCAGUGGGGAAUAUUGGACAAUGGGCGCAAGCCUGAUCCAGCCAUACCGCGUGGGUGAAGAAGGCCUUCGGGUUGUAAAGCCCUUUUGUUGGGAAAGAAAAGCAGCAGGUUAAUACCCCGCUGUUCUGACGGUACCCAAAGAAUAAGCACCGGCUAACUUCGUG
rnacentral:rRNA from 1 species